rnacentral:rRNA from 1 species
UACGGAGGAUCCAAGCGUUAUCCGGAUUUAUUGGGUUUAAAGGGUGCGUAGGCGGCGUUGUAAGUCAGUGGUGAAAGUUUGCAGCUUAACUGUAAAAUUGCCAUUGAUACUGCAGUGCUUGAGUAUAGAUGAGGUGGGCGGAAUGUGUCAUGUAGCGGUGAAAUGCAUAGAUAUGACACAGAACACCGAUUGCGAAGGCAGCUCACUAAACUAUAACUGACGCUGAGGCACGAAAGCGUGGGGAUCAAACAGG